rnacentral:misc_RNA from 1 species
GGAUUAUUUAAGUCUUUUCAGGUUAUUAACUUUUACUUAUACUUUUACUACUACACAAACAAACUAACUCAAAAGUAUUCUAGCUGAGUUUGGCUUCAUCGUUAGAAAAUUUGGAAACUCAAUUAGAAAUGUUUAUUGAAAAUGUUUGUCAGAUGGAUAUAAUAGUUAGCGAUUUUCAACCACAAAGCACAGAACAUACACAAGGGGGAUAUACACAGAGGGGAUAUUUUAUGCCACAAAGCCAGAACGUGUUUAACCAAAAAUCCGAGACAGAAGAGAGAGAUGAUUUGAAUGUUUUCUCUAGUGAACGUCGAAAUGCUUGUGUUAAGGCUUUAAAACGGGCGCCUCUACGUGAAAUCUAUAUAAGAAAUGAUCGUAUUUGCUCGUAUUGCGGACAUUUCAUAACUGGAAAACCAGCUGCCUUGGAAGACAAAACUAAUCCAGAUGUGUUGCUCAACGAAAAUUUAGGAAACAUUUGUAGUCUCUAACCAGGUCAAUAUGCCUGCCUUAUUUAAAAGGUUUUUAAAAAGAACUAGGAUGAAGCCAGGGGUCCGAGCUGAAGUUGUGUUUGCAUGGUGCACAAGAAUUUGAAAGUGUUUCACAAUUUAUUGAAGAAAUUUGAGCAAAGCAGAUUUAUGGAAGCUGUGUUAGUGAGUCAAUUCAAGCUGAUGUACUUUAUUGAAGAAUAUUCAAGUCGUGUUUUGCAGAAUUUAGAUUUUUGCAAUUCAAUAAUGUACAUCUUGCAAGCAAAAGUUCAAGUGAUGGGUGUAAAUGAGAAUUCUGUUAAAAAUAAAUGCUUUAUCCCUAACGUG